rnacentral:rRNA from 1 species
AGUGAACGCUGGCGGUAGGCCUAACACAUGCAAGUCGAACGGCAGCACAGUAAGAGCUUGCUCUUACGGGUGGCGAGUGGCGGACGGGUGAGGAAUACAUCGGAAUCUACUUUUUGUGGGGGAUAACGUAGGGAAACUUACGCUAAUACCGCAUACGACCUACGGGUGAAAGCAGGGGAUCUUCGGACCUUGCGCGAUUGAAUGAGCCGAUGUCGGAUUAGCUAGUUGGCGGGCUAAAGGCCCACCAAGGCGACGAUCCGUAGCUGGUCUGAGAGGAUGAUCAGCCACACUGGAACUGAGACACGGUCCAGACUCCUACGGGAGGCAGCAGUGGGGAAUAUUGGACAAUGGGCGCAAGCCUGAUCCAGCCAUACCGCGUGGGUGAAGAAGGCCUUCGGGUUGUAAAGCCCUUUUGUUGGGAAAGAAAAGCAGCAGGUUAAUACCCCGCUGUUCUGACGGUACCCAAAGAAUAAGCACCGGCUAACUUCGUG